GCCACUGGGCCCAGAGAGCCCAGAGCCUGCAGACGCCCGCCCCCGCCGCCCCCGCCCAGCCAAUCGGAGAGGACAGGGCUGCGCGUCCGUGCGCGCGACCGUUGUCCCCGCGGCGGGGUUUCCCUGCCCCACCCCCACUCCUGAGCCCGGCCCGCGGGGAACGGGGUUCUGGGGCCGCCGGGACGGCGACAGGGGCGCCUCCCGCCGUGCGCCUGGACGGCCGGCCUGCCUCCCCCGCCCCAGUCUUCCCACUGGCCACCCCGCGAGCGUAGAAAGUUCCAGGAGAAGCACCCGCUCUUAAUGGCGGCCGCAGCGGGGGCCGGUUUUAAGAAAUAUUACAGAGACACAACCGAAGGCACUGUUCUUGUUCCCUUCUCUUCCCCACAGAGAGCCAGAUGUGGGGCUCAGCCUCAUGAGUCAGGAGACUGUGACCUGAGCCGAAAUCAAGAGUCGGAUGCUUAACCAAAUGAGCCACCCGGGCACCCCCCAUCCUAAUCAUUUUUCAAGUUACAGUUCAGUGGUAUUAAAUGCCUUCAUAAUGUGCAAUCGCCACCAUCUAUCUCUGUCAUUCUUGUCCUCUUGUGAAACUGACGCUCCAUCCAUAUCCAUUCAGUAGGAUUCCUCAUUCUCCCUCUGCCCAACUAUCAUUCCACUUUCUGUCUGUGACUUUGCCUACUAAAGUGCCUUAUAAGUGCAGUCACACAGCAUUUGCCUUUUUAGAGCCAGCUUAUUCCUGUAAGUGUAUUUCGUAUAUGCCUGUUAAGUCUAGGUGGUUUAUUGUCUUAUGUGAUGCCUCCAUUUCCUUAUUUAUCCCCGUCUGCCUGGUUGCCCGAUCCGUUGUUAUGAAUGGGAGUACUGAAGUCUCUAAUUAUUAUCACAGAGCCGUCUGUUUCUCCCUGCAAGUCUGUCAGGUUUUGCUUCAUAUAUUUUGAUGGUGUAUCAUUAGGUGGGUGAAUGUUUAUUGUAUCUUGCUAUAUUUUGUUAAUAUGUAACGUCCUUCCUUGUCUCUUGGAAUUGUUUUCAAGUCUAUUUGGUGUGAUAUCAGUAUAGCCAUUCCUGAUCUUUUGUUACCAUUUGUAUGGAGUAUCUUUUUCCAUUUUUUUCACUUUCUUUUUAGUUUUUAUUUUUUCAAGU